UUUUUUUCUUUUUUUUGGGCAACCUCAAAAACUGAUUAUAUGAACAAAGGAAUACAAAAGAGCAAUUCGCUACACACACUUUUUUCUCUUUUCUCUCUCUCUCUCUCUCUAGAGUAAGGCCGAACAAGUAUGGAGUUAUCUUUCUUUUUGGAUCACAGUUCAAUUCGGACUUCACAACAGAUUCGACAGAGAGAAGAUAUGGUAAUACUCGGCUGUGUAUAGAUGGUGACAAGAACUCGAAUCUCUAAAGGACUAGACACUAAGACCAGCAACUCGACACAAACCAAAGCAACACAAAUUCAACAAGCCCUAACUAAAACGGUACUAGCCAAGGCACAAAGGUUAAUAGGAUUAUGGAAAAACUAAUCUACUAUAUAUUUUUUUUGGCUUUUCUGGACUAUAGGAAAUUAAUUAAAAACAGCAAAGGAUUAGAAGUCUCUCACCGAAGAACCUUGCUCUGAUUACCAACUGAUGUGAACCCACUAGGGUUUUCGCCCGAUCUUUCGAUGAGAGGCGCUGGAUAACUCGAUUAGUGAAUGGAGAUGACGUUCACGGCCCGACUACAGCCUUCUAAGGCCGCGCCUUAGCAACCGAUACACCGCCUCCAAUGGUUGUCACGAUCUUGUGGAGCGCAACACCCGGCCACUAGGGCACUCGUCCUGCAAGCAAUCGAAGAACCAGCAAGAACAAGUAGAACAAGUACUAAAUUACUAGAUGUAAAUGAAGGUUUCAAACUCAAUCUUUAAUGAAGUGGGGUUUCGAAAACAAGUAGACGGGCGGCUGGAUCAGCACGCGCGUUUACAAGCAAGUAGCGAAGGCUAAACUUUAUCUAAUCAAAACC
rnacentral:lncRNA from 1 species